AUGUAAAUGGACUAAAUGCCCCAAUCAUAAGACACACACUGGCAAAUUGGAUUAAAAAGUGGCCCCAUUCUUAAAAGGCUUCCAGCUUAGUUGGGGAGAUAGCAAAUAUGGUCAGGUAAUUUUUAAAUCAAAACUAGAGAAAUUUGUAACUGUAACAUGGAAUGAGAAAAUUGGACUUUGAAUCUCUAUUCCUACUGAAGAUUAGCCAUGAAUUCUGAUGUGAAAGAACUCAUGACUUUAGCUAAGGCAUCCUAUUGACUAGCGGAAGUUUCUGCAAUAAAGGAAAUGUUUGAUUAUCUGUGUCAUCCAAUAAGAUAGCCACUAACUACAUGUGGCCUUUGAGCCUCUGAAACAUGAUUAGUGCAAUUGAGAAGCUAAAUGUUUAAUUUAAUUUAUAUUAAAUUAAAAUAAUCACACACGAAAAGGACAAGAUACUCAGCAUCAUAGCUCAUUAGGGAAGUGCAAAAUAAAAUCAAAUUAAGACACUACUAUACACCUUUUAGAAUUGCUAAAACAAAACAACUGAUAAUACAACAUGCUGGUGAAUAUGUGGGACAACUGGAGCAAAACUCGUAUGUUUCUGGUGGAAAUACAAAACAAGAUAGUCACUUUAGAAAACAGUUUUCAAAAAAA